rnacentral:rRNA from 1 species
UACGGAGGGUGCAAGCGUUAAUCGGAAUUACUGGGCGUAAAGCGUGCGUAGGUGGUUCGUUAAGUCCGUUGUGAAAGCCCCGAGCUCAACUUGGGAAUUGCAGUGGAUACUGGCGAGCUGGAGUGCGGUAGAGGAAGGUGGAAUUCCCGGUGUAGCGGUGAAAUGCGUAGAGAUCGGGAGGAACACCAGUGGCGAAGGCGGCCUUCUGGACCAGCACUGACACUCAAGCACGAAAGCUAGGGGAGCGAAUGGG